rnacentral:tRNA from 1 species
CCUCCAGUAGCUCAGUCGGAAGAGCAGAUAGUUCUCACCUAUCGACGCUGGUUCGAGUCCAGCCCGGGGGA